CUCGCCCCGCCCCGCCCCGCACCGCGCCGCGCCGGUCCUUCUUGGUGUAGAAAAUGGUGGUGUGCUGGUCCAAGUGUUGCGGCGGCGCACUCGCGGCGAGAAUCCGGAGGAGGAGGAGGAGACUGCAAGGAUAGGCCCAGGUCGGUGUGGGGGACAGUAGAGGGGGCGUGCGGGGAACGUGUGGAAAACCCUGAGGCCCCAAAUUCCCUACCCCUCCCCCCGCCCCAGCGCGUCCUCCAUCUUGGUGCCUGCAGAGGCCUGGGAAGGGAUCGGCAGGGAAAAUGGUGGGCUUUGGGUGGGGGGGGGGGGCGGGGAGGGGAGCGACGGGGGCGGGAGGGGGGCUCGGACCGGGGGCCCCCUGGAGGGCGUAGGGAGCCUCUCAGGUGGGAAAAUGAAAUUUUAAAAAACUGAAGAGAU
rnacentral:lncRNA from 12 species